rnacentral:misc_RNA from 1 species
GAUGAAGAACGCAGCGAAAUGCGAUACGUAAUGUGAAUUGCAGAAUUCAGUGAAUCAUCGAAUCUUUGAACGCAUAUUGCGCUCUUUGGUAUUCCGAAGAGCAUGCUUGUUUGAGUAUCAGUAAACACCUCAAAGCUUUUGGAUUUUUUAAUCGAAAAGCUUUGGACUUGAGCAAUCCCAACACCAAUCUUUUUGAGAUCGGUGGCGGGUUGCUUGAAAUGCAGGUGCAGCUGGACAUUCUCCUGAGCUAAAAGCAUAUUCAUUUAGUCCCGUCAAACGGAUUAUUACUUUUGCUGCAGCUAACACAAAGGGAGUUUGACCGUAUUGGCUGACUGAUGCAGGAUUUCACAAGGGUCGGCAACGAUUCUUGUUAAACUCGAUCUCAAAUCAAGUAAGACUACCCGCUGAACUUAAGCAUAUCAAUAAGCGGAGGA